GUUGCCAAGGGUAACUUGGUAAUGAAGCUUGAGUCAUUCUUUGAUUCGUGCAUUCUUCAAGGUUGGAAGGACACGAUCACGACAUUGGAGGCAGCAUGGAAGCUAUCGGGGUGGUCGGAGAAUAGGAUUGUGCAGCCCUGCAUGGAUUCAAUUGUCGAGAAAAUCCUAAUUCACCCCUCGAAGGUACAUAUAGAACAAAAAAAUCAUCAUCAUUCAUUUGCUUGCACAAUUUUAUAAGUUUUGAGAGCGAAAGAAAUAAGUGAAUAACAGAUAAGUGAAUGGAAAAAACAAGUCUGCAUUUUCUUAAUCUUGUAAUGAUCCUCUUAAAUAUAACUAGAGCUAGUUAUACAAGACAAGGUAACGAAAUUAUCUGGUAAUAGCAGAAAAGGCCCUCAAUUAUGCAUAAUGACAAAAGGAACUGUACUCAUCUAAUCCAAGGAACACCUAACGGCUAAACAUUAAUUAGCCUCAUGACUACAAGGAUGAAUGAAGUAUUUUAGGAAAUUUAAACCAUAUGAGAGAGUUGGAAAGAGGGGGGAAAAAACAAAGGGUUACCUCAGAAGGUGGAGGAAUAAAGGUUAUCUUUUUAAUAGCAUUGUAGUCUCAACCUUUUGUUGGGAAAGAUUUCCUGGAAUGAUUCCUAAAUGCAAGGUCAACUAUAAAGAAAACUGUUCAGGAUAACAAGUACAUGCAAGGGUUAUUCACAAUUACUGCUAUUUGACAUAUGCUUUCUUUUUUCUGUUGAAAAACCUAAUAAUGUGUGUUCAAAAACAAGGCAAGGAUUUAAGAGUCGUAGCACCUGAUCGUGUUGAAAACUUACUGGCACAAUACGGCAAAGAGUGUGUCAUGCCGUGCUAAUGUAUGCCAGUGCCGACACGCAAUAGCAUAUAUAUAUAUUUGGGACCAAUAUAUUCUAAUUGCUUAUUAUAUAUUUUUAUCAAAUCUUUUGUACUUUAUUGAGGUAACUGCUUGCUAAUUUCAAAUAAAAGAUGGUUGUGAGCCAUGCCAUCAGCACGGAGGCUAUAUAAUGCCGAUAUCUUGUCGGGACGGUACAGCACAGCCCAUGCCAAUGGACACUUAAAUCCUUGAUACAAGGUUUACCUAACUAGAGAAAACAACAAAAAAGAAAAGAAUCUUUGCAUUUCAUAAAAUACUAAAUACUCAGGCUAGAAAGCCAGUACUGUAGAUUCUUCUUGCUAUUUUCUUCUCUAUUUUCAUAUAAAUAAUUAAAAAAACUGAAAACAUGUAGUUGUUAGGCAUAUAUGAUAACGUUAACAGCUUUUUUGAACUUCCAAAAGAAAAAAAAAAAAAAAAAAAAAAGCAACUGGUUUAAUUACCUAUUCCUGUCCCAGGUCACAUGGUCCUACACAUAUACCAGGCCAGGCUAUAAUAAAAAGCAGCAUCCAUCCGUACCUAAGGAUUGGUGGACUGAGGACGUUGCAGAGCUCGACCUAGACCUCUUCCGAUCGAUAAUCUCCACUGUACGAUCAACAAAAACAAUC
rnacentral:lncRNA from 1 species